UUCACUGUCACGUUGACAGUGGAAGGAUUAAGAGUUUAUGGGUGUGUGUAUUUGAGAGGAUCUGUUUUCCCUCUAACAUCGAAACUGAAGGGCCCUUGGGACAUUUGUGUUAGGGAGCAGUUUGGAUCCGCCUGUAACAACCCCUCUGCUAAGAAAUCCCCGCUAAGAACAGCUGCUGCAAUCCACACAAUUGUCUCAGGGGAUGGUCUCCAUGAGCUGCUUGAGACUAAUCAAACUAUUCGGACCAGAAAGAAGAUAGCAGGUAUCUGUAUGACUAAUCAGGAAGUGUAACAAUCAAGUCAAGAAACCAAAACACCAAACGAUCAAGAGAAUGGCAGAAAACGGAGACCAGGAUCCUCACUGGACCUACCCGGCCCAAGAAUUGGUGAGAAGAGAGGAGGAGAGGACUCCCCAGGUCCAAGAAGGUGAAAAUGUAUUGAGGACCCACCAAGAAAAGAUGAUUGAAGAUUCUGGUUCUGUCCAACUGAAAAUCUCCCCAGAAAUAGAAACACUAGGUCCCCAAGAGACAAACAGUGUGUCUGGAAGCCCCUCUGCAGUAAAUGAAGAGGAUUCCUCAGAGGGAAGACCAGUGAGUUCUGAUGGAAUUUCUCUGAGAACAAACACUGAGGAGUCCCCAGGCCUUCUGAACCUUAACACAAUGAGUUUACCAGACUAUUCUCUGGACAAAGACAUGGUAUCUUCCUUAGGUGAAAGGAAAACACAUUCAGGGCCAGUUGCUCUGGAAGAGAAAAUCAUAAGGGAACCCCCAAAAGAAGAGGAGAACAGUGUACCUACCCCCAGAGGAGAGCCACAAGAUACCAUAAUCCAAGAAACCACACUUCCAUCUGCAGACUUCCUGGAACCAGUGAAAGAGAGUAUCUCAAACAAGGAGGGAGAAAGACCCCAAGACACAGCAAGGAAGAGACACUUGACUGAAGCGGGGAAGUCAGAGGCUGAAGCCCAUCCACAAGAGACAGAGACCAGGCAGGAAGCAACGCCAGAGAAGGAGAAGUCCUUUUUAGGCAAUGGUCUUGCCUUUCCUGCAGCUUCACUGGGAUUCCUGGUAGUUGUGGUUUGUUUCAGCAUAUAUUGCAAUGGCUACUAUACUUCCCAGCCCCACUAUGUGCCAGAAAAUCCAGCCUUGGAGGCCUUCUUGUCUAGGUUUAACCAGCUGAAGGACAGCUUUCCAGGCCAGAGCUCUUACCUGUGGGUUAGAGGGCAAAAAUUAUUGCAGAGGCAUCUCAACACUUCCAGUCAUAGUGAGCCAGCUAUUUUAAUCUUUACUGCUGCCCGUGAAGGUGAAGAAACCUUGAAGUGCCUGAGCAACUGUAUUGCAGAUGCCUACUCCACCUCACUCCGUGCCAGUAUGAUCCAGGUUGACGGGGCUGGUAAAGCCACACUCAACAGCGACAAAGCUAAACUGGAGGUAGAUUAUGAGCUGAGCACCGGCUUUGAGGAGGGCAAGAGGGCCGCAGUGGUGCACCGGUUUGAGUCGCUACCUGCUGGCUCCACCUUGAUCUUUUACAAGUACUGCGACCAUGAGAGCGCAGCCUUCAAAGACGUGGCACUGCUCUUAACAGUCCUGCUGGAGGAAGAGAAGCUAGAGGCUAAUAUACACCUACAGCAAGUCGAGGAGAGAGUUCGUGAUUUCCUCUGGGCCAAAUUCACCAAUGCCAACACUCCCAGCUCCUACAACCACAUGGACACCGACAAGCUGAGUGGAUUGUGGAGCCGCAUCUCCCACUUGGUCCUGCCCAUCCAUCCAGUAAAAGCCAUAGAGAACAAUGGCUGUUCUUUCCAAACCAAACCAUAGUGAUGAAUGAAAUCAGCUUCCAAGACAGCCAAAGCCUUUGUGUAGAGGAGAGGGGACCUUCCACCUGCACAUCUGCUCCCUCCCAUACAGAAAGGGCAGUCGCAGCCACCGCUGUAGCAGUGUAUCCCCAGAUCCUGUGGAGGUUCAGUCUGGAGAACAAGAUGGAAGCUGGAUGGGGCCAGGAGGAAUUUGGCAAGGACUUUUCUCAGGGAGAGUUCCUCCCCCACCAGAGCCCUGGGAAGGGUGAUCGGCCCAUGGUUUGUAAUGUUACUGAUAACAGCAAAGGGACAUCAUAAUCUUGUAAUUCACAGUUGCCUCUAGGUCUCUCUAUAAGUAGCUCUUAUGAUUAACUUUUAGCUCCCUAGACAAUUGUUAAUAGAGGUAUUUAUUUCAGCCCCUAUAGGACAUGUCGCAAUGGGAUCUCUCUGCAUAGGGAGAGCUCACCUUCUCGCCAGCCGGGGGGAGCAGCCACUCAGAGUAAUAGGAGUGCUUCAUAUGGCUGGGGAACUGAGUGCAUUGAUGGCUGGUAACGAGCUAAUACUUUAUGUACUGUUUGAAAGCUUACGAAUCCCCAGCUUGGUGCACACCAGUGCAUGUUGCACAUCAUCUUCUGUACAUAACAUAGGAAGCACUUGAGCCACUUGGGGGCAUGUUACUUCCAUAGGUACUGAUGCAUUCUGGGAAGUGUCUAGAGAAGAGCUGCUAAGGUCAUGCUGGAGGGGACUCAGGUUACUAGGCUAAAGCUCUAAAGGCCCCAAUCCUGCAAUGAGAUCUCUGCAGGCAGACUCCCUGCACCUGUGUGGGAGCAGAGAGUCGGAAUGCACAGAUCACAUUGCAAAAUCAGGGCCCAGGUCUCUUCCGGUUGGAGAAGAAGAGGCUGUGGCAAGAAGUGGAGCUUACUUCCAAGUAUAACUGCCCAAAUGGAAGACAUGUUGUGAUCAGCACGAUCUAUAUGAGGGCUGAAGGAUCGAGCAAUCAAGGUGAGCUGCCCACAACAGGCCUUACACAGACAUAGGCUUUAAUUAAGCAACAACAGGAACAUGCUUGGACGCUCUGAGAUGGGUAACUUUGUAAAAUACCCUCUACUGACUGUACACCAAUGCUGCCUGUGCCGCACACCAGUGGUGCCUUGCUGAACCAUUCCAAAGGAAGACUAAGCUGACUCACAGCAUAGCUCACAGUAUUCACUCAUUUCACUACAGCCCCAGGGGUGCAGCCCAUCUGCAUUUCCAAAUCUCAGGAUUGAGACUGAAUUUUUUGGGGGUGGGGUGGAGGUGGAGAUUUUGCAUUGAAAAUAGAGUCUGCUUUUAUUCUUGCAAACAGAAUGCGUUGGAUGUGGUUUUUCAGCACGACUGGCCAUUUCAAGACAUGUCUUGGGACUGUUGUUCAUUUUUCCUGUGUAGUUGGCAUUUUAUAUGUGAUCCAAUUCUUGUAUUGAAAAGCAUAUGCUUUUUUCUCCCCUGCAGAAUGGAAAUAGGUUUUACUACAGAAGGUGGGCUGGUGUUCUGAAGUGUUCCUUAGGACACAAUCAACAUUCUAACACUCGGCUAUAUCAGGUUUUAAGGAAAAUAAUGAAUAACUGUGGCUGUAAAAAGUCUCUCUGCGCUGACAUUCAGCAAACCAAGGGGUCCAGUCCAAAGAACAUUUUUGUACAAAAUUUGGGGUAGGGGUAUUUGGCUGCUUUUCAUUUUUAAUCAAAGUGCUCAACAUGGAAGCACUUUCUUGUUUUUCUGUGUGGCUUGGGAUUUAUUGUUUGCUUUGACUUAAUAGUCAGCAAGAGAUCAGUCUAUGGUGCAAGUCCAAUGAUUUGAAAAAAUAUUAACAUCUAAAAGUCAAGUGCCACACACAGAUAAUUUUAUGUAUUCCGUUUCUACUGCAUUGUCUUCUGUGCAAUGGAAAGGAAUGAUUCUCAGGCACAUAAGGCACUGUGGACAAUAUGGCCCAUGAGCAUUAACCAGUUGAGCUGUUGCAGCAUAGAGAAAUUUUAUGCUUUUUUAAAGAAAAACUUCCUUGUGCUUCUUAAAGUAGUUUAAAAAAAAAAAAUAAAUCAUGAGGUUGUAAAAGAACCCAGUGAAGACUUAAAUGUUAGACUGAAAACUGUCUUUUUAUAAACUGUUCAUACAUUUCUAAUGAAUUUUAGUGCACAUACGUGACAAUCUGUUGUAUAGGACAGAGCCAUACUUAGGACAUGUCCAAUGCUAACAUAGCCCAUCUAAAAGCUUGAUCCAAAGCUUAGUGAAGGUAGAGUGUCUUUCUGUUCUGAUUGACUCUGGAUCAGCCUCUGCCCAAUCCUGCAACUGAGUGUGGAUAGACCAUUGUGCUUCUGUGGAGUUCCACUGAGUCACUGGGAUUCCAUGUGGGUGGAUGGGGAAGGCUAAUGUAUUGCUUCCCUGCAACACUUACCCUCAGAUAUUGCAUGCUUAACAUACUCUGCCCUGUCUUUUUCUGUCACACUGGUAGCAGCAGUCAGCAUUAACUCUAUUUUGGGGUUUGUUUCUGGCCCAGUCUUAGCAAACUAUACACUUGAAGCUUGUGCAUUUGUAUUCCAUGGAUCCAAAGAAUAUGCUGUGUUCAUUCAGAUGGUGAACUACCAAAUGUAAACCUCAGGCAUUUA